GGGGGAGGAGCCAAGAUGGCCGAAUAGGAACAGCUCCGGUCUACAGCUCCCAGCGUGAGCGACGCAGAAGACGGGUGAUUUCUGCAUUUCCAUCUGAGCAUGCAGCAAUAUGGUGGGGACGCAUACUACAGCUGAGCUCUGGACAGGAAGUUUUCCAUUUUAUGAGAAACUCAAACCACCAAGAAAACCAGCUUAUCUCACAAAAUAUUUUUAUACUUCUCUAGAACUCAGUAAGAGGCCCUCAACGGAUUGGAUGAUGCCUCUCCACGGUCCACAUCGGUGAGGGUGAUUGUCUUUACUCAGCCUAUUGAUUCAAACACUAAUCUCUUCUGGAAACACUCUCAGACUCACCCAGAAGUAAUGUUUGGCCAGCCAUCGGAGCAUCCUCUGGCUUAGUCAAGUUAACACAUAGAAUUAACCAUCACAGAAGGCAACAGAAAAACCUUUAAAGAAUCAAUAGAAAAUAUGUGCAUCAGAAAAUAUUGCUGGCUUACCCAAAAGCUAUUUCCCUUUUGUUCCUUACUAACAACUCUUACUUUGUUUAUAUUUGAGGAAGUAAUGUACUUAAGGAAGUUUUGUCUCUAACCCAGCAUUCAAGAAUGCGAAGACAAUCACGUUAAUCCCAUUUCCUCUACCAGUGAUUGGUGUGGAGGUGGGCAUAUCACUCACUUAUAACCAAAA
rnacentral:lncRNA from 1 species